CAGAGUUGCAAAACUCCCACCCUUUGUGAACGAACUUGCUAGUUGCCUCGGCGGGGAGCUCUUCAGGGAGCCGACCGCCGGUGGACUACCAAACUCUUUUAAUUAUCAUUCUGAUUACUUAUUCAAUAAGUUA
rnacentral:misc_RNA from 1 species